CCCUGCCAAGAUACGGGUCGGAGAUUUUCUCAAUUGCCAUGAUUGAACAUAGCCUAGAAAGGUGGAAAGCAUAUGCCAGCCACCCCCAUCCAAAUGAUAGAAAAUAAAUACUCUCUCCGGUUCAACUUGUUUGUCUUCCCUUUUUGGUUUGUUCCAAAAAGAAUGUCUCUUUACUUUUUUGGCAACACUUAAUUCUAACUUUCCACAUGACAUCUUUAAAACCACAAUAUUAAAGGGCACCUUAAGUUUAAGAUAUCCGGGUUUCCCCGCUAAGAUACGGAUCCAAUUGCUCUCCCGCACUAUUGAUUUUCUCAAAGAAAGAAGAAAAUCGACAUCACAGCCUCAGAAUUUUCGCAACAAUUAUUAUUAUUAUAACUGGGUGUGAGAAUUUGGAGAGAACAAGCAAAGACUUAAGGGUCAUUUGGUCGCUGUUUAGCUGCAACAAGAGCUGUUGAAUUUUUCUUUUUUCACAGCAACACUGAAAUCACAGGUAUUGCAGAGAGGAGUGACAGCCCUUUGAACUUCCUCUCUGCUCUCUGCAACCCUCAUUCUUCGUCUCUGAACUUUUACUUUUCUAGGCUAAGCUUUUUACCUUUUAUGGGAAAUUCUCAUAUGUGUUUCGACCUGCGAAUUUCCCAACUGCAACAACAACAACCCAGUAUAAUUUGACCUCCACCUUGUGGAGGUCAAGAAGCGAUUUUCAAUAGACCCUAAGCAAAUCAAACAUUGAGGCUCAGAUUUGUAAUACUGACGAUCCGGCAAGAUACACUGGAAUCAUCGCCAUGCCUGCAAGCACCGGUUGCAGGGUAACCUGUCAUCUGGAUUGCCACGCCAAGAUACAGGUACAAUCUCUUUCCUGCACUAUCGAUUUGCUCAGAGGAAGAAGAAAAUCAUCAUCAUAGCCUCGGAAUUUUCGCCAAUUAUUAUUAUUAUGACUACUAUUGAGUCUCACUUUGGGGUUGAGAGUUUCGAGAGAACAAGCAAAGAUUAAGGGGUCGUUUGGUAGUUGUUUAACUGAAAAGGGCUGUUGAAUUCAUGUUUUUUCAUAGCAAAAAUUGUAAUCACAGGUAUUGCAGAGCGGAGAAACAGCCCUUUGAAAUGUUCCCCUCUACUCUCUGCAACCCUCAUUCUUCGUCUCUAAGCUAAGCUUUUUUUCCUUGAACGGAGAAAUUCUCAUGAGUUCUUCGACCUGCGAAUUUCGCAGCUGAAACAACGACGACAACCCAGCAUAAUCUAACUCCUACUUUGUGGAGGUAACAAGAUUGUUUCCGAUACUCUAUCAGCAAAUGAAACAUUGAGGCUCAGAUUUGUUAUACUUACAACAUGGCAAGAGAGACUGGAAUCACCGCCAGGGCAGCAAGCACCGAUUGCAAGGUAACCUGAAAUCCAGGUUGCCCCCGCCAAGAUAUGGGUCCGAUUUCUUUCCUGCGCUAUCGAUUUGCUCAGGGAAAGAAGAAAAUCAUCAUCAUAGCCUCAGAAUUUUUGCAACAAUUAUUAUUAUUAUCAUUACUACUACUAUUGAUUCUCACUUUGGGGUUGAGAAUUUCGAGAGAACAAGCAAAGAUUUAGGGGUCAUUUGGUAGUUGUUCAACUGAAAAGGGCUGUUGAAUUUAUAUUUUUUCACAGCAAAAAUUGAAAUCACAGGUAUUGCAAAGAGGAGCAACAGCCCUUUGAAGUGUUCCCCUCUGCUCUCUGCAAUCCUCAUUAUUUGUCUCUGAGCUAAGCUUUUUUCCUUUAACGGACAAACUCGCAGACGCAACAACAAUAACAACAACAACAAAACCCAGUGUAAUCUCACUCCAAAGAUUGUUUCAGACACACUUUCAGCAAAUGAAACAAUGAGGCUCAGAUCUGUAGUACUUACAACACGGCAAGAGAGACUGGAAUCACCGCCAUGGCUGCAAGCACCAGUUCUGAUAUACUUCCAUCCGGGUUGCCUCGCCAAGAUACGGGUCCAAUUGCUCUCCCGCAUUGUCCAUUUGCUCAGAGAAAGAAGAAAAUCAUCAUCACAGCCUCAUAAUUUUCCCAUCAAUUAUUACUACUACUACUACUAUUGAUUAUCCCUUUGGAUUUGAGAAAUUGGAGAGAACAAGCAUAUUGCUGUUUAACAGCAAAAGGGCUAGUAAAGAUUCUUUUUUUCACAGCAAAAAUGAAAUCACAGGUAUUGCAGAGAGGAGCAACAUUCCCUUCAGAACUUUUUGCUUUGUUUCUCAACUCAAACAUUUUCCUACAUACGGAACACACCCUAAAUAUAACAAAAAAAAAAGCCAAGCUGAAUAGAGAAAAAUCGAGGCUCAGAUUUGUGUUAAGCUCGGGAAACAAGAGAGUCCAACAACGCCAUGGCUGCAAAAACCACCAGAAAAUCUGGGAGCAUGCCCCGCCAAGAUACAGUUUGGAUAACCUCAAAUGCCCAAUUAAUCAGAGCUCAGAAAGGAAUAAACAUUGGCAAAAAUCAUCAUUGCCUUUUUUAAGCCAUCCGAUUAUACUCAGCACCAUCGCUUCCACCAGCAACAAUCAAUGCUCCGGCAGAAGCAUUAGAGAAAAGAGAAUGCACUGUAUGGUCACAGCAUGGAAGUAUAGGUUAGAUUGAUAUGGUAUAUAUAUAUAUGUGUGUGUGUGUGUGUGUGUGUGUCUAAUUAGGUAGUUUUUCCUAAAAUUUAUAAAACGGUUGUUGGGGUUCUUACAUCAAGAGAGAAAAAAUUAGCUGAUGCAGAGAGUGGCAACCAACCUUACAAUGAAAAAUCCUCAACUCUCUGUAGCCUCAUUCUUUCCCUACUGAGAUUUUUGACAUUUGUUUCUCAACUCUUGAAAACAUUUUCUUUCAUAUCAAACACACCCUUGAUAUUAAACAAAAAAAAAAAAACCCAAAGCUGAAUAGAGAAAAAUUGAGACUCAGAUCUGUGUUAAGCUUGGGCAAAAGGAGAGUCCAACCAUGCCAUGGCUGCAAAAACCACAAGAAAAACUGGUGGCCCACCAAGAUACGGGUCUGAUAACCUCAAAUGCCCAAUUAAUCAGCUCAGCUUGGGCAAAAGGAGAGUCCAACCAUGCCAUGGCUGCAAAAACCACCAGAAAAGCUGGUGGCAUGCCCCGCCAAGAUACAGGUCUGAUAAUCUCAAAUGCCCGAUAAAUCAGCUCAUAAGGGAACAAAAAUUGGCAAAAAAUCAUCAUCACCUCUUUCAAGCCAUCCGAUUAUACUCACCAACAUCGCUUCCACUGGCAACAUUCAAUGCUCCGGCGGAAGCAUUAAAAA